rnacentral:misc_RNA from 1 species
AACGCACGAGACCUGCGGACCUGCGGAAGGAUCAUUAAUGAAUUGACUUGGUUUAGGCUGUUUGCUGGCUCUGCAAGGAGCAUGUGCACGCCUUACCCACAGCUUUUCACACCCCAUGUGCACCUUUUGUAGACUGAGAACAUCUCUCGAGGGUAUCCUCGGACUUUUGAGGACUGCUGUGCACACACAAAGGCAAGCUGUUCUUGUGUUCUUAGUUCUAUGUCUUUGUUAUAUCACUCU